AAAAAUUUGUUAUAUGCGUUCAGGGUUAGGUUAGGUUACGGUUGCGAUGUUGAUUUAUUUGCUCUCAGUUGUUGUGCUUGUUCUCAGGGUUAUGUUGUGUAAUAUGUUACUUGCUGUAUAUGUUCCCUGUUGUGCUGCUUAUCACCUCUGGGGGCUGGAUUAAGGUUACCAUUUUGCUGUACUGGGUAGCACUGGCUUAUGAUAUGAUAAAAUUACUGGUCAUGAGACUAACGUGAUAUUUGUACUUAGCAUUGCAGCUAUCUCUGCACUUUGGGAACCAUCUCUGGGGAACUUAAUUAUAUUCUUUACCUUUUCUCCUUGGAGAGCCACUUCCCCUGCUCUUUCACCUUCCCCUUCUUCAGGCUAGUUACAAUGGCUUUUUAGAAUUUUGAGCAUCCUUGGGGUGUUCAAACAUGUUCCUAUUGUUAUGUCUCCUGAAUGUGUUUCAGGUCUUAUUUAAGGUUAAACAACUAUUUAAGAGUACCCAGAGAUCUGCCCCAAGGUUGGGUAGUUAUGAGUGACAGGGUCUGUGGGGUAGUAUGGGCAAGUGCCUAGGGCAGUGAAGUUUUGGAACUUCACCCCUGAACAAGUGCAGAAUCCUGAAAAACUAGUAAGAUGUUUGGAAAAAGAUGCUGUCACCCUGGCAAUUCCAGAGAGACACAAAUCACUACAUCAUGCUGGGGCCUGGCCCAUGCCUACUGAGCCCUGUUCAACACAAUUCAGUUCCUCAAGUGGAAGAGAAGGUCUCUGCAUCUGACAAUAAAAUGACAGGCACUGCGGCCACUCCAACCCCAGCAACGGGCACCACAGGUGAACCAGAGAACCAACCCAUGCCGGUAUCAGUCACCCCCAUACACAAGAAGAAAUAUUAGAAACAAAAGUCACUUUGUUUAGUAAGGGAAGAAACUCCUACUAAGAAGGGGAAGGAGGAAGAAGUGGAUGAGGCAGGCUACUCCAAAGCAGGGCCAUCACAAGAGGAGGAGGAAGAAGAGGCAGAACUCAUCAAUGAGGCGGUAACCACCCAAUCCCUAUCUCUGAGUGACCUGCAAGACACAACACACACUAAGAGACACAGUUAUCAAUGUUCCCUAAUAUGUCUGGGCACUGUGGGCUGUGAUGAGAGGUCAUCCAACAGAUUAAUAUAAAGCCUUGCUGAGCUGUGGAACUUCCCUUCUGUUGUCACCUCUGGUGAUUCACCCCUUCCAGGGGAAACUGUCAUUUCUCGAUACCUUCAAGUGCACUAAAGGCAUUUAAGGACAACAGAAGACCAACGCAGGAGUUCACAGUGUAAAGCUCUGAUCCUUAAACUCCUGUUUCUCUUUCCCUCUGCAAAAGUCCACUGAAAUCACAGUGUGCAGGAGUCAAUAACCAGAACUGGGGCCUGAUUGCAGAUGGUGUGCAAUGAGUGAGGGGAAUGUGACGAAGGCUGUUUUCCCAGGAGCAUGAAACAGUUACGCAGUAUUAUUACAUGCACUCUAAGUAGCAUCUGCUGAAUGCUCUGCAGGCUCGCCUGGGUCAGGCAAGGCAUUACCAACUUUUUGCCACUGGCUCCUCUAGCUGGCAAAUGAAAAGUUCUUUGACUAAACACAAUCCCAGACAUACCUGGGAAAAACAGUGGAGGAGAUUUAUAACACUUAAAUAAUAAUUGCAGAAUGACUUGUAGCUGCCACCUUACUCAUCUCCUAGCUCCUCUCCUGCCCUUCCUCACCGACCAGCGCAAAAAGCCUGCUGUUCAGGGUGUCUUGCUUCACUGCCGCCACAGAAGAAUAUCUGACAUCUCCUUUCCCCUCUGCCUGCAGUAAGUGAGAAGCAGGUCAGAGAACUGCGUGCCUCAUGCUCCCCCUGGGGCUGGCCCUGGAUUGCUGAACUCCUGCAGCACCGCUCGCUCACGGCUGCUCCCGUGCAAGAGGCUCAACACGCCACCACCUUUUGCUAUGACCAGGAAUAGCAUUUCCUGAUUUUGGUUCACAUUUCCAUUCUCCCAGUUUACAAACCAUACCACAAAGUUAAACAUCAAUCUGCCUUUACCUUCCAGCCCCAGUAAUGUGCUACUGUGCUCUGAGUCCUGCCUUAGUAACAAGGACUCUAUUCCAAGAAAAAUAUCAAUAUUAAAGUAAAUUUCUCAAGACAUUUCCUCUACUGCAUGUGUGGUGUGGGGGGAGAAGGAGGAAGUAAUACCUGCAUUUUUCUUCAGAGUAAAUGUUGGUAAAAUUACUCAUCCUGCAGAGCAGCUAAAUGCAUUUUAUGUUCCCCUAAAAUUUCCUAUAUGCUGAUAUGUAUUCUCCCAUUUCAAAAGGUUUUUGGAAUAUAUGAAAAGUUGUAGUACAGAAUAGUUGCAGCCUUGCUUUGUUUCCACUGAUGUUAGAGAAGCAUUUCGAUGUUUUCCCAGACCAAUGAUCCUUCAUGGAACACAGUUUUAUGAAAGGUAGUCUAUGUGUUUUGUCUUAGAAAACUUAAAUAGUGAUUACUCAGAGCUACCUCUGUAGCAUGAAGAACAGUUAAAUUUUAACUUCAAACAGUGAACAAAUACAGAAAACCCUAUAACGUACUUACUCUUUGUUACCCACAGUGUUUUACACUGGCUGUAGCUUUUAUGUCAUCUUUUUUGUGCACGUCUGGCGCAAACUAGGUGGUCUUUGAAAGUGUUGGUGAAAGAGCAUUUGAUUGAGAAUCUGAGUUGAGCAUCCUUUUCUUUUAGUAAAACAUUUUUCUGAAAUUUGUUGCUUCUAUGUCCUUGCUGUUGUGCUAAUCCAGAGGAAAGAGAAAACACGACAUCUAUUUUUGCCCCUCCUAUCCAUGCUACCUGACUUUAAAGUUAGUGAUCUCCUUAAUCUGGUUCCCACUUAUCUGCUAACAGAUAAGGCUCAGUGGUUUAGUUAGUUAAACACUUUACCAGCUGGCUUAUUGUGAUUUAUUGACUUGUUAUUGUUCAGAGAAAAUGUCCGAGCUAGGAGCAAUACCAAAAAGCAGUCAUUUGCUACCAGAUUUUCUGUCGGUUUUGUUGAUGUUGGUACACUGCAUUUUCUUACUAUUCCACUUCUUUUCACAUCCAUCCUUGUCAAACCUGAAGAGCUGCACAGAGCAACACACAGUGGCUGCCCACUAGGCCAUGCACGGCUGAUAACGCUCACAGCAGGACCGUGAGUAAAUAGCAUUAAGAUGGGAUGCAAACCAGCCAAGCCAGAAGCGCACAGCGACGGCUCCCGCUAACACUCAUGAAGUAGCUAAGCUAUGACGGUAGAUGGUGUAUGUAAGACUCUGGCCCUCCCAUUUUAAUGUGAUAUCAUUUGAGAGUGAUGCCCGGGACCAGAAGCAGUGAUUGUGGCUUGUGAUAUGUUGAUCUGAGUUCAUUUACAAGCAGAUGAGCUCCACCCCAGCUGUCUUCCAUGGAGAAAUUAUUUCUAUCCCUUACUAGCUGCACCGGCUGUAGAAACAGAACUGUUUUCCACUCUCAGAAGAGAGUUGCGUUGCACAGACAGGAUGAGGUGGGGGAUUUGCCAGUGCUGUCCCUCUGGAUUCAGGGUAGUAAAUGUUUUAUGUUUCCCUGGGACUGACAAUGAAGCUGGUGAAAUAUAAUUCUAGUUUAGUGUCAUCUAAGGAGAGUAGUAUCUGUAUUUCUGUGGGAUAUCUGCAGAAGCAUCUUGUUGUCACACCUGAGGGCAGGUCUUCAGACCUCAUCUUACCAAAGUAUUUAUCAAAAGUUCACCAGUUCGUUUCAUCCAAGAUCAGGUAUCUCCAGAUGCAGCCGAGAAGGGACUACAGAUCCUCUCUGCAGUCAGACAGACCCACAGGGAAGCAGCUUCUUGACCUCAGCAGUGGUGUGGAAAUUAAAAAAAUACAAAACAUUUUCAGGGACUGGAAACCUGAGACCGUGAGCCUGCAGCUCCCAACGGGAUGAAUAUCACAUUAGCCUGGAACGAUAACCUGGCCAGUCACGUUUCCCUUGGGGUCUUUUACAAGGUUUGGAAAUGAACUGAAGCAAACUGUAAAUCCAAAUCCCACUGACAGUGAAGUUCUGCCCUGGUAGCUGUUCUGGAUUAGCCUCCAUUUGGUGUAAAUAUUCCAGAGUAAGAGCUGAGCCAUCUCGACUUGUUUAGAGGAAAUCUUGUUACAGAAUGCAGGACAAACCAGUCAAGCCACUUUAAACAGGAUAAAUGAACAAAGUCUUCAAGGCUCAUUCUAUUUGCUGUUGGUGCUAUGAAAGACGCAGCUCAGAUUUAAAGGCCCGGUGUGCCAAGGGCUGGAGGGCAUUCGCCGCUCUGAGGAGUUUCCAGUCUCAGCCAUAAGCCAGCGUGGGCAUAAAGCAGCAAGAGUAAGACUCGGCUCUUGUGCUACAGCCAGGAUCAUAUGAAGUAGGUGACAGCUUUGGAGAGCAGCUGUAUGGAGCAAAACACAAGCAGUGCAUUGGUGGUUCAACAAUGCAGAUGAGCCAAACUAAGAGCUGUCUUUGCCAGAAGGAUCGUAAUCUCGCUGCUUCCCUUGCACCACCACUCCCGCUCACCUGAAACCAGCAAAACUCCCAGCCAGACAAAAAAUUACAGAAUGAUGCUCAGAAACACUACGGAACAAGAUGUCUUGGAGCACUAUAUUCAUGACACCGAGCAAAGGUGACACAGCAAAGGUGACCAAAGGAGACAGCAACGCAAGGCUGCACAGGAUUUGCACAGGCCCUUAGCUGUCUCUGAAAGUUGUGGAUCUCAGAUGAUGCUUCUCCCCUCUGUGCUUUUAUAAAUGUUAGUUUCCAAGCAAGGUUUUAUUUAUCUGGCUGACAGAGUUGUUCUGUGGGCCAAAGUUAAAGGACAAGUGAUUUAUACGAAAAUAUGGUCUACAGCACAUGUAUUCUUUGGGAUGUUUUCUGUAGCAUCUUUGGAUGAAAUUAGUUGAAUAAACUGAAAAUUUUUUCUUUCUUAAGUCCAAAAGUAGCAGUUU